UACGAAGGGUGCAAGCGUUACUCGGAAUUACUGGGCGUAAAGCGCGCGCAGGCGGGAUGGCAAGUCGGGUGUGAAAGCCCUCGGCUCAACCCUGGAACUGCAUUCGAAACUGCACAUCUUGAGUACAGAAGAGGACAGCGGAAUUCCCGGUGUAGAGGUGAAAUUCGUAGAUAUCGGGAGGAACACCAGUGGCGAAGGCGGCUGUCUGGGCUGAUACUGACACUGAGGCGCGAAAGCGUGGGAAGCAAACAGG
rnacentral:rRNA from 1 species